UACAGAGGGUGCGAGCGUUGUUCGGAAUUAUUGGGCGUAAAGGGCGCGUAGGCGGUGCGGUAAGUCACCUGUGAAAUCUCCUGGCUCAACUGGGAGCUUGCAGGCGAAACUGCCGUGCUGGAGUGUGGGAGAGGUGCGUGGAAUUCCUGGUGUAGCGGUGAAAUGCGUAGAUAUCAGGAGGAAUACCGGUGGCGAAGGCGGCUAUCUGGCCAUGUACUGACGCUGAGAUACGAAAGCGUGGGGAGCAAACAGG
rnacentral:rRNA from 1 species